rnacentral:rRNA from 1 species
AAGGUUUCCGUAGGUGAACCUGCGGAAGGAUCAUUACCGAGUGCUGCCUCUGGGCAACCUCCCACCCCUGAUUACCGUACCACUGUUGCUUUGGCAGGCCCGCCCCCCGGGGGCCGCCGGCGGUAAGCUGGCCUGUGCCUGCCAGAGGACCACAAAACCCGAGUCUGCGUGUUGUCUGAGCGUCACAUAAGAAUAAGUUAAAACUUUCAACAACGGAUCUCUUGGUUCUGGCAUCGAUGAAGAACGCAGCGAAAUGCGAUAAGUAAUGUGAAUCGCAGAAUUCAGUGAAUCAUCGAAUCUUUGAACGCACAUUGCACCCUCUGGAUUCCAGGGGGUAUGCCUGUCCGAGCGUCGUCACAAAAGAUCCCUCGAGAUUCCCAGGAGCUUGACGGACGUUGGGUGUGGCCCCGAUCACUGGGGCCCUCCCAAAAGCCAGUGGCGGCGGUGGCCCGGCCCCGAGCGCAGUAGACUUCUCUCGCCCGGGGGCCUGGGUGGCGUGCCGGCCAGCAAGACUUUAGCCACACCAAAGGUUGACCUCGGAUCAGGUAAGGAGC